GUGGACUAGUGGACAUGGCACCUGCCCGGUAAGCAGAAGGUUGUGGGUUCGAUUCCCGCCCCUGGACA